rnacentral:lncRNA from 1 species
ACUGGAUGCACCUUUACCAUUUGAAGUGGCAAGGAAUUGAGGGCUUGGGUUUCCACCGGGAGGGAACACCAUCAAAGAUAACCAAAGGGGCUGUCUGAUGGACAAGAGAGACCCAGCAGUGAGAGGCUCUAGGCUGCACCACUGGGGUCCAAGGCUGAUGGGACUAGGGAGAGGUCUUGCAGAAGCCCAUUUCCCAAGGCAGGGAUGAUGCAGUGGAGACUGUCCCAUGGAGCCCUUGAAGAUCAAACACACACAUCAUAUAGGGAAGCCUGGCUUUGCAUGCCUGUUAUACAGAAGCCAUUGACUAUAAAGGGAGGAACGUAGAAGUACUAUUUAAUUUCUCCUUUCCCCAUCUGUCUUGCUAGAUGUGAAUACCCCAAGGAAUACACAGUAGCCUAGAAAAGAGGGGAAGCCAGAAGAAAGGGCAGACUCCUCCCCCUUCCCUAGCAAGGCUCACUCCUAAGUGUGAAUUAGAGAAUAGGUAGUGCUUUGAACUGGUUGUAAGACAGAAGUUUUAAAUUGAACUCUGUAUACCUGGAAGAGAGUAGGAAAUAGUAGAAUCUGUCCAAUUGUAGAUAUGGGAUGAAAAAAGGCAAUUCAAAUGAAUAUGUUUCAAGUCAAUUAUUGGAGAAAAAUGAAGAUAUUUUAUACCCAUAUCUUACUGAGUGCAUAUUGCUGAAUAUAUUGACAAAGACAGAUACAUACCUACAAAUAGAGAUGAUAAAUAGACAAAUAGGUAGGAGGUAUAUUCCUCUUAAGUUAACAGUGCUAUCUAUAACUUGAGGUUAAAAAUUAUAUAUCCUUUUUAAAAAGGCCGAAUGACUUUUUAUUGAGUCCAACUAGAUAUGACUAUAAUCCUAGAUGAAUACAGGCCAAGAGGAGGGCCCAACAUCCAAAGCUGUCUUUGGACAAGAUGCUCCUCUUUCUCUGUUUUAUUUGGUUUCAAUGUUUAAGUCAACUGUGCUUUAUGGAUUAGAGAAUCCCAGUUUCUACAAAAUUCUGAGUAGUUAACCUUGGGUUGCAAAACCAGGGAAAAUACAUCUCCAUAUGUCCUCAGUAUGCUGAGCCCCCAUGAAAUCAUCACCAAAUUCAGGAGACCAUAUUGUACAAUCUGGCCUCUUUUUCUGAUUUUACAGCUACACUCAGGUUCCCCCACAUGGAUAAAUUUAUACUUGGAAUUUUUAAGCCAUGAAAGGAGAUUAUAAGAUAUUUCAAUUUGAUGAGAUCCUAGAUUUCCUCUUCUAAUUUGUUUCUCAGGUCACUAUCCUGACUUGGUAAGGAGUUUAGGACAAUAUAGAAACCCGUCAGUCAGGACCCUAUGAAGAUACUACCCAUCACUAUAAGAACAGAACUUGUCUUGGGUUCUCACUGGACCUGGAUUAAGAAGAAGUGUCACCAUUGGCACCAGAGGCAGAAAUUUUUUUAAGUUGUCAGAAAACAAUAAACUAUCUUCUGUGAUAUUCCCUUCCACCAAAAAGUCAAAUAUCCUUGCCUCCCCAAAGGGCAAGAGUGCAGACUAGUCCACUGAAACUCACAAAGACUGAAAAUCCCUCUGAUUUUUGCCAGCCCUCUACAUUCUCUAGGCUAUCCAUGAAUGCAAAUGGGGUAAAAUAACUAUGAAGAGUGAUUCAAUACAUGGAAAAAGUUACUUUAAUGUGACCCACCUAAAGGGGAGUAGUAAGGAAAGAACAAAUACUCUGAUCUAGAACAGUGGUUCUCAAAAUGUCCUCAGACCAGAGGCAUCAGCAUAAAUCUUGGAGUUCAUGAGAAAUUUAAAUUCUCACCCUCCCACACCUGGACAUAAUAAAUCAGAAGCUCUGGGGUAGGGUCCAGAAAUACGUGUUUUACAAAGACCUCCAGGUGAUUCUGACACAUGUUAAAUUUUGAAAAGCAUGAAUCUAUGAUGCUGGCUAUCAGAGCAGAGAGAUGAGAUUUUCCCUCAGAUUAUUCCAUGUGGUUCCAAGCAGCAACAUGUGAUAGAAUGGCUGGAACAGUAUCUCCCACUCUACGUGCUCUUCUUAUGAUGACAUUGACAAUCUUCCCAUCAGGAAAGGGGGUCCAUGGCCUCUAGCCUUGAAUCUGGAUGGGUUUGUCUGUCAGUGUUAACCAAUAGAAUGUGGCAGAAGUGAUACUGAGUAACUUCCACAGCUGUCACAAAAGGCAAUUCGACUUCUCUGUUACAUGUUGUAAUACUUUCUAUUAAAGACUUCAGCCAAUGUGUUAGCAGUCUGAAUAUAAUCUAAUAAUUUUUACAGAUCUGGAAAACUGAAAAUAGAAAUGCCUUCACACCUAGAGCCUUCCAAAUAUUUUUUUCUUUGCUCCACAAGUAGAAGUUAAUUUCUUUUAAAGUAAUUAUUGGGGUAAUAUUUUUUUUAGACUGACACUACAUAUUUUUAUAUUAAAAAAAUUGAUGUUCAUCUUUUUAACCUAAAAGCACAACCCUAAAUAUUUUUAAGGAAUCCAAUGUAAUGAACUAUUAAUCUUAAUAAAUAAGAGAUAUUUAAAAAAAACUCCAAGUCAUUAACUUAUAUGUCAGCAUGGUUUGAAUAGCAGGGUAGGGAGUAAGCAUUGUUUGUCAAUAUUUAAAGGUUAAAGUAUGCUCCCAGACAUGCAAAAAUCUAUGUCACCUGUCACUACAACAGUACACAAUUCUAUAAUUACUUGAAAUGUCAGUUUAACCUCAACAAUGUGAAAAGACAAUUAUAAUACACUGAUAUAUAAUAUUUUAAUGUCAAUAAAAAAUUCUCUAUACCAAAAAAGUAAGCAGUCUUAUGUGGAAGCAACCUAAGAGUCCAUCAACCAAUGAAUGUAUGCAAAAGACGUGGUAUACAUGUAUGCAUGUGUGUGAAAUGAAAUACUACUCAACCAUAAAAAGAAUGAAAUUUGCUAUUUGCCACAACAUGGGUGAUCUUGGAUGGUAUUAUGCUAAGCGAAAUAAGUCAGAGAAAGACAAAUACUGUAUGAUAUCACUUAUAUGUGUAAUGUAAAAAAUGCAACUAGUGAAUAUUACAAAAAAGAAUCAGACUCACAAAUAUAGAGAACAAAUUAGGGGUUACCAGUGGGAAUAUAGAAGGGAGGAGGGGCUACAUAGGAGUGGGAAGCUAAGAGGUACAAACUAUUAGAUAUUUUUAAAAAUUAGGUUAUAUUGUACAACACAGAAAAAUAGCCAAUAUUUCAUAAUAACUACAAAUGGAGUUAUUUAACAUUUAAAAACUGUGAAUCACUAUAUUGUACACCUAUUAAAAUACAUAAUAUUGUACAUAAACUGUACUUCAAUUUAAAAAUAAGUAAGAAAAAGCUGAAGGGACCCCAAAUUAGCCCAUAAGAAGAAAUCAUAUGGAGCAGCCAAGGCUGGAGAUGCUAGGCCAGUUGUUUUGAUAUCCAGCUGUUCUAGCUCUAAGAACUACCAUUUGGCUGCAAUUGCAUGAGAGACCAGACUCACUCAUCUGCAUCCUUCCCAAAUUUCUGACCCCACAUAAACUGUGAGAGAUGAUAAAAUGGUUGUCACUGCUUUAAUCGACUAAUAUUUGGAAGAUAACUGAAUUAUAGUGUUCUGGUGCUCUAACCUCAUUUUUUUUUUCAAAGUUAGCCAGUUGUCCUAAUGUCAUUUAUGAAAUAAUUCACCUUUUCUUUGUUCACUGUAAAAGCCACCAUUACUAUAUUAAAUGCUUUCAUCUUCUUGGGUCUAUUUCUGGACUUUCUUCCUCUAAACGAUUAACCUGUGUCCCUCUUCUUGCACCUUUUCUACGCUAUUUUAAAUCUAGCUGUGUAAUACGUUUUAACAGUGAGUAAGGCUAGUCUCAUCCUGUUCAAAAGUCUCUAGUCUGCUAAAAGUAUUUUAGAAUCAUUUUCAAGUUAUAAUAAUAAAUAAUGAAAGACGGCUGAAAUUUUGAGUUUGUCUUAAAUUUAUAGAUUAGCUUGAUUUACAGUAUGAAGAUAUACCAAAGAACUUGGAACCUGACAUAUUUUUCCACUUAAGUUUUGUUCCACAUUAUUCAGUAAUUUGGAUGGCUGUUUCUUCAUAUAUUCCUAAACAUUGUGGUAAAUUUAUUCUAAAGCAUUUUCUAUUUCUGUUGCUAGUGCUAUUAGCUUUCGUUUUCCUCUCCCCAAACUCACACACAUGCUCAUUUUCUAAAAGGAGUAUUGUAAAAGUCUUGUCUGUUCAUGAAUACCUUACUAAAGUUUCUAAAUAAUUCCAACAGUUUUUCAGUUUAUUCUCACAGAUAAACUGGACUGGUGAUUUCCAAUUAGAUAAUCCUAUCUCCUGCAAAUAAUUAUAAUUUUUCUGCCCCUUUUCCACUGCUCCUUACUCCUCAUUUUAUUGUCUUGGUGCAUUUUGUUAAAGAUUUCAGGAAAAAAAUAAUAACCAUACUUUUUAAAAUAAAAAAACAGAAGUCGUUCAGAUUUCUGUAUGAUUCUUUUAGAGAUGAUCCUAUGUGAAACAGGCUUUCACAAUAAGGAAAAACCAACAAGAAGACCCCCAUCAAAAAUAUCCAGUAACUGGAGUUCCCUUCAUGGCUCAGCAGUAACCAAUCCAACCAGUAUCCAUGAGGAUGCAGGGUUGAUACCUGGCCUUGCCAUGAGAUGUGAUGUAGGUCACAGAUGCAGCUCAGAUCCAGCGUUGCUGUGGCUGUGGCAUAGGCUAGCAGCUACAGCUCUGAUUUGACCCUGGCCUGGGAACUUCAACAUGCCAUGAGUACAGCCCUAAAAAGAGAAAUAUAUAUAUCCGGUAACAUUCCUUGGCAGAAGAGGAAGCAGAUGAAAAAAUCUACCAAUUAGAGCCAAGCUGAUGUAGAAUAUGCCAUGUGCAUAAAUAACCACAGUACAGGACUCCAUGUUAAGUGUCACCAAAGAAGUUCAAGCAAAAUUCUCUGAGAAGAUAGGAGAAAUAAUUUUUGACUAAGGGAAAUGGGAAUGACCUUUGAGUGCAAGUUUGAGGUAUGGCUAAGAUUCUAACCCAUGAAGAUAAUACAGAAAGUUGAACAAAAGUAGAAAGAAACAAGGCAUGUUUGAGACAAUGAGUAGCCUGGUUUGGACAGAGUGGGAAACAAUAGAAAAAACUGGAAUUGCUGACAGAGUGCAGGAAUGUACAAGAGUAACAUGAAAUGGACUCUUCUCAUGUGCCAAACACUGUCUCAAGUGCUUCACUUGUAUUAAAUAAAAACACAGCUACAAACUUAGACUAUAUGUUUUAGGUCACAGGCGUCCAUGUGUUAGCUUUUCAACAGGAAAAUGACAUGAGCAAAGCAAACUUUAAGAAGAGUAAUUUAGUAACAGCUUUCAGGAUUGAAAAGGGAGAAUCUGGAGGCUGCAAAGACAUUUAAGAAGCUUGCUAAAGAUGCAAUACAAUCAUAUAAAGCUUCCACUCUGUAGCCUCUAGCUUCAUUUUGCACUCUCCCCACCACACAUCCUUUUUCUAAACUACCCUAAAGGGCAAAUAUGUGGUGCCCUUUUAAACACCCAGGGCUUUUUACAUCUCAUUUAUUAUCCAUGCCUGGGAGGCCCCCUUCCCAGUUAUCCUUUCCUUUGUAAAUCUUAACCUGUUCCAAGCUUACUUAGUUAGUUCUUUGUCUCUGCAAAUGGUACUUUUCCCAUACCCCAAUGAGGGUAGUUACCAUGUUAUAUUUUAAUUAAAUGUUUAAAAUCAUUCUUACCCACAAGUUAUUCAUGGGAAGAGCUUAUGUUCUAUUUAUUGUUAUAUACCCAGCAUCAAGCACAACAUCUUAGCAGGUCCCCAGUGAGUAAAUGCACGAAAUCAAUACUACAAUGGACAAAAGGACUGUGUGCUACCAGUGAAGACCUAGGACCAAACCCCAUGAAUUUGUAGUGCACAAAAACAAAGCGGUUCCAUAAUGCCUUUAGCAAUGCUUAGUGUCCCAGUAGCAGAGGAUUACCAGUGUCUUCUAUUUUUGUCUAUACCUCCUACUAGGUCUAUCAUGUGAACCUCAGUGUUGGCCACAUGAUCCAAGCCGGCUCUAUCAUAGUACCUCACUCAGAGUUCACAGUGAUUGAUUCAAGCAUGGACAAGGAACAUAAUCCAGGCUGAGCCCAUUGCAAACCUUCCCUGAAAAUGAGGAAUCCGUUUUGGAAAUUUAUUAGUAGUCUUUACUAAAAUGUGACUCCCUCUAAAAAAUAUGACCAUCUAUUAUUAUCACCGCAUUUUAACAAGAAGAAAACUAGGACGGAGUCAUCGCAGAACAAAAGGCCACUAUCCCUAUUCAUUUGACUUUAUGGAGAAUGCACUUCAUUUGCCACUAAUUCUCUUAUUUCUCUGCUAGCUGGUAAAACUUAGGUUAGACUUGAACCAAUUCAUGGAGUUAGGGCAUUAGAGAUUGAAGUGGGUUGACUAGUGGUUCCCAAAAGCUAUGUUUAGGGGUUCCCAUGUGGCUCAGUGGGUUAAGGAUCCAACAUUGUCACUGCAGCUUGGGUUUGGUGUGGGUUCAAUCCCUGGCCCGUGAACUUCCC